UUCAUCCGUGGCACUGAAGUGCCUCGGUGUCCCCUACAGUCUUUGGGAAGGAAGCAGCUCCAGCGGGUGGAAGGAGUUCUGCACUCUCCUCAUCCGCUUUUCAAACACCGCGUCUCCGCGGUGACCUGGAGCAACAGAGAAGGUCUUGACAGACUCUCCCGCUGAGCUUAAAGCUGAGCUCACUGCAACUUCGCAGGCGGCGUGCGCGCAGGACGGGCGGCGGUGGCCUGCAGGCGGCGGAGUUCGGCGCGGCUUCUGCAGGGUGCGACCCCCGGGAGCGCCGGGCACGCGCGACGAUGAGGGCGCGGCCG
rnacentral:lncRNA from 1 species